rnacentral:rRNA from 1 species
GAACGCUAGCUACAGGCUCAACACAUGCAAGUCGAGGGGCAGCAUGGUCUUAGCUUGCUAAGGCCGAUGGCGACCGGCGCACGGGUGAGUAACACGUAUCCAACCUGCCGUCUACUCUUGGACAGCCUUCUGAAAGGAAGAUUAAUACAAGAUGGCAUCAUGAGUCCGCAUGUUCACAUGAUUAAAGGUAUUCCGGUAGACGAUGGGGAUGCGUUCCAUUAGAUAGUAGGCGGGGUAACGGCCCACCUAGUCUUCGAUGGAUAGGGGUUCUGAGAGGAAGGUCCCCCACAUUGGAACUGAGACACGGUCCAAACUCCUACGGGAGGCAGCAGUGAGGAAUAUUGGUCAAUGGGCGAGAGCCUGAACCAGCCAAGUAGCGUGAAGGAUGACUGCCCUAUGGGUUGUAAACUUCUUUUAUAAAGGAAUAAAGUCGGGUAUGGAUACCCGUUUGCAUGUACUUUAUGAAUAAGGAUCGGCUAACUCCGUGCCAGCAGCCGCGGUAAUACGGAGGAUCCGAGCGUUAUCCGGAUUUAUUGGGUUUAAAGGGAGCGUAGAUGGAUGUUUAAGUCAGUUGUGAAAGUUUGCGGCUCAACCGUAAAAUUGCAGUUGAUACUGGAUAUCUUGAGUGCAGUUGAGGCAGGCGGAAUUCGUGGUGUAGCGGUGAAAUGCUUAGAUAUCACGAAGAACUCCGAUUGCGAAGGCAGCCUGCUAAGCUGCAACUGACAUUGAGGCUCGAAAGUGUGGGUAUCAAACAGGAUUAGAUACCCUGGUAGUCCACACGGUAAACGAUGAAUACUCGCUGUUUGCGAUAUACUGCAAGCGGCCAAGCGAAAGCGUUAAGUAUUCCACCUGGGGAGUACGCCGGCAACGGUGAAACUCAAAGGAAUUGACGGGGGCCCGCACAAGCGGAGGAACAUGUGGUUUAAUUCGAUGAUACGCGAGGAACCUUACCCGGGCUUAAAUUGCAGAUGAAUUACGGUGAAAGCCGUAAGCCGCAAGGCAUCUGUGAAGGUGCUGCAUGGUUGUCGUCAGCUCGUGCCGUGAGGUGUCGGCUUAAGUGCCAUAACGAGCGCAACCCUUGUUGUCAGUUACUAACAGGUUCCGCUGAGGACUCUGACAAGACUGCCAUCGUAAGAUGUGAGGAAGGUGGGGAUGACGUCAAAUCAGCACGGCCCUUACGUCCGGGGCUACACACGUGUUACAAUGGGGGGUACAGAGGGCCGCUACCACGCGAGUGGAUGCCAAUCCCCAAAACCUCUCUCAGUUCGGACUGGAGUCUGCAACCCGACUCCACGAAGCUGGAUUCGCUAGUAAUCGCGCAUCAGCCACGGCGCGGUGAAUACGUUCCCGGGCCUUGUACACACCGCCCGUCAAGCCAUGGGAGCCGGGGGUACCUGAAGUGCGUAACCGCGAGGAGCGCCCUAGGGUAAAACUGGUGACUGGGGCUAA